rnacentral:lncRNA from 1 species
GUCGGAUCUUCCGCAAUCGAUCAUCUGACAUCUUGACUCGGACAUCAAGGCUACAUUAUCGGCCAGAUGGACGCGUCAGGGACGGAACGCCGCUGACACUUCUUAACCGAUGUUUCCUCAAGUCAUUACUCUGAGACAUUAUCGUCUGGUCUUCACGCCAUCACGGACCCUCUCGGCUACGUCCGCCAUUCCCACACCCAGCGAGGCGUCUGGUGUUGAUCCUGUUCAAAGCGUCGUGAGACAGACUCCCCUCGCGAGGAGACGCUGGCAUACGUUGAGCUCCACUUCCAGCGGCACGAGUACCCUCGGUGACCCACUAUCAUUAAGGAAUGUGAUAAUAAGAAGGCUAUUAAGACUGUUUCUUAUUGUGAUAUUUUUAAGGUCUUGAACUUGAUGUAAUAUUUGGUUAUUGGAGUGUUUUAUAAUUUCUUUUUUUUUUAAAAAAAAAAAAAAAAAAUUCCCUCUGGCUAGG